rnacentral:rRNA from 1 species
GAUGAACGCUGGCGGCGUGCCUAAUACAUGCAAGUCGAGCGAACAGAUGAGGAGCUUGCUCCUCUGACGUUAGCGGCGGACGGGUGAGUAACACGUGGAUAACCUACCUAUAAGACUGGGAUAACUUCGGGAAACCGGAGCUAAUACCGGAUAAUAUAUUGAACCGCAUGGUUCAAUAGUGAAAGACGGUUUUGCUGUCACUUAUAGAUGGAUCCGCGCCGCAUUAGCUAGUUGGUAAGGUAACGGCUUACCAAGGCAACGAUGCGUAGCCGACCUGAGAGGGUGAUCGGCCACACUGGAACUGAGACACGGUCCAGACUCCUACGGGAGGCAGCAGUAGGGAAUCUUCCGCAAUGGGCGAAAGCCUGACGGAGCAACGCCACGUGAGUGAUGAAGGUCUUCGGAUCGUAAAACUCUGUUAUUAGGGAAGAACAAAUGUGUAAGUAACUAUGCACGUCUUGACGGUACCUAAUCAGAAAGCCACGGCUAACUACGUG